AUUGAACGCUGGCGGCAGGCUUAACACAUGCAAGUCGAGCGGGGGAAGGUAGCUUGCUACCGGACCUAGCGGCGGACGGGUGAGUAAUGCUUAGGAAUCUGCCUAUUAGUGGGGGACAACAUCUCGAAAGGGAUGCUAAUACCGCAUACGUCCUACGGGAGAAAGCAGGGGAUCUUCGGACCUUGCGCUAAUAGGUGAGCCUAAGUCGGAUUAGCUAGUUGGUGGGGUAAAGGCCUACCAAGGCGACGAUCUGUAGCGGGUCUGAGAGGAUGAUCCGCCACACUGGGACUGAGACACGGCCCAGACUCCUACGGGAGGCAGCAGUGAGGAAUAUUGGACAAUGGGGGGAACCCUGAUCCAGCCAUGCCGCGUGUGUGAAGAAGGCCUUAUGGUUGUAAAGCACUUUAAGCGAGGAGGAGGCUACUCUAGUUAAUACCUAGGGAUAGUGGACGUUACUCGCAGAAUAAGCACCGGCUAACUCUGUGCCAGCCGCCGCUGUAACAC
rnacentral:rRNA from 1 species